rnacentral:rRNA from 1 species
UACGUAGGGUGCAAGCGUUUGUCCGGAAUCAUUGGGCGUAAAGAGCUCGUAGGUGGUUUGUCGCGUUGUUCGUGAAAACUCACAACUCAAUUGUGGGCGUGCGGGCGAUACGGGCAGACUGGAGUACUGCAGGGGAGACUGGAAUUCCUGGUGUAGCGGUGGAAUGCGCAGAUAUCAGGAGGAACACCGGUGGCGAAGGCGGGUCUCUGGGCAGUAACUGACGCUGAGGAGCGAAAGCGUGGGGAGCGAACAGG